rnacentral:lncRNA from 1 species
CAGCUUCCUUGCACUCCGAGAAGUAGAGUUCGUGUGAAAGGAGAGAUUAGUGGCUGGGUUUCUGAGGAGAAAACGUGGCGAGGAGGGAGCUCUCGCCAUGCCCCACAGCCGGCCCUGAUGACUGAGGCCUGCAGCAGCAGACGGAGCUGGAGGAUGGCACAAGAUAAAGGGAAGAGUCAUGUGGAGAAUUUUCACUCAGUACUGGACCAUGCUGGACCAUCUAGGACUUCACAAUAAAGGGAUAUGAGGCACUGGUGAUAUAUGAGGACCUGAGGAUGUUAUUGCAGUUGGAUUCUAAGGCCGUGUGGACUAAAAACAGCUCUUACAUUAUGUGUUUGACUAUAGCUCAUUUGUCUGUAAGCCAAUUCUAAUUACAUCGAAGUGGGCACAGCACAGAAGCUUCUGCAGCUCAUGUUCUCGAGAGCAGUCCUUACCAGACCUGAGAGAUGUAUGAUGGAGACAACAUCUGGUCCCAGUGUAUAGAUUGGUGCAGUAUUGCACUGUAAGCAACUUGCAUUGCUGAAAAAAAAAAAAUGUAUGUUAGAGUGUGUGUGUGUGUGUGUGUGUGUGUGUGUGUGUGGUUUUUGUGGGGUUAACCUAUUGAAAAGAGGUUU